AAGAAUAAGCACCGGCUAACUACGUGCCAGCAGCCGCGGUAAUACGUAGGGUGCAAGCGUUAAUCGGAAUUACUGGGCGUAAAGCGUGCGCAGGCGGUUGUGUAAGACAGGUGUGAAAUCCCCGGGCUUAACCUGGGAAUUGCAUUUGUGACUGCACGACUAGAGUGUGUCAGAGGGGGGUGGAAUUCCACGUGUAGCAGUGAAAUGCGUAGAUAUGUGGAGGAACACCAAUGGCGAAGGCAGCCCCCUGGGAUAACACUGACGCUCAUGCACGAAAGCGUGGGGAGCAAACAGGAUUAGAUACCCUGGUAGUCCACGCCCUAAACGAUGUCAACUGGUUGUUGGGGAUUUACUUCCUUGGUAACGUAGCUAACGCGUGAAGUUGACCGCCUGGGGAGUACGGCCGCAAGGUUAAAACUCAAAGGAAUUGACGGGGACCCGCACAAGCGGUGGAUGAUGUGGAUUAAUUCGAUGCAACGCGAAAAACCUUACCUACCCUUGACAUGGCAGGAACUUUCCAGAGAUGGAUUGGUGCUCGAAAGAGAACCUGCACACAGGUGCUGCAUGGCUGUCGUCAGCUCGUGUCGUGAGAUGUUGGGUUAAGUCCCGCAACGAGCGCAACCCUUGUCAUUAGUUGCUACAAAAGGGCACUCUAAUGAGACUGCCGGUGACAAACCGGAGGAAGGUGGGGAUGACGUCAAGUCCUCAUGGCCCUUAUGGGUAGGGCUUCACACGUCAUACAAUGGUCGGUACAGAGGGUUGCCAAGCCGCGAGGUGGAGCCAAUCCCAGAAAACCGAUCGUAGUCCGGAUCGCAGUCUGCAACUCGACUGCGUGAAGUCGGAAUCGCUAGUAAUCGCGGAUCAGAA
rnacentral:rRNA from 1 species